UGGCAGGGAUGGCCAGCCUCCUGGCUGCCUCUGUCCACUCUCCGUUCUCUAGCUCAUUAACAUUCUUGACAUUUGACUUGAAGGUAGUAUUUCAGAAGACUCGGAUGCAGCUUUUGUAAACAAACAUAAUAUUCCUGGGGUCCUGGUCAGUUUUGUGCCAACUUGACUCAAGCUGGUGUUGUUUGGGAAGAGGAACCUCAACUGAAAAAAUGUCGCCAUCAGAUUGCCUGUAGCUUAAUGUCAAGACAAACACAUGGAAAAUGUGCAAAGAAUUUUCUGAAGAAUAUAUACAAAUAGUCAACAAACACAUGAAAAGACACCCAACAUCACUACUCAUCAAGGAAACACAAAAGAAAGUCACUCUGAACCCAGCCAGAAUGUCUACAAUCAAAAAGACUAAAGGCAACAACUAUUGGCAAGGUUGGAGAGGAAUUGGAACCCUCUUACAUUGCUGGAGAGCAUGUAAAAUGUUGCAGGUACCCACCAUUCCACUUACAGAUUCUAUUAAUUUGAAUACUUCAGAUACCAGCUAUGGAUGCAAUCGUGAUGUUUUGUCUUCCUAUGACUGUUUUAUUCCACCCAACAUGAUGUCUUCAAAGUUCAUCCAUUUUGUUGCAUAUUGUGACUUAAAAAAAAAGUUGAGCAAUACUCCACUAGGCAAUGCACUCUCUUCUAUCAAUCCACAUUUACAGUGUUCCCACAUGGCUGUUGUUGGUAAUUAUCCAAUCUCAAUGAGCAAGCAAUAUCUCUUUGAUAUCUUAAUUUUGAGUGAGCCACAAGAACAGGUUGUAAAUAAAGUGCAGAAGAGGUAGAGGCCGCAGUGGUCAGUAUGCAAAAGAAGCUGAAACUCAGUUCCCUUUGAUAGGGUUUCUCAUAAUGUCAAGUUCUCAAGGCCAUGAACUGGUCUUGGGGUGGGAGGAAGAGGACUAGACUCAAAUACUACAAGACAGUGAGAGAUCUAAACAUGAUAGUGUCCAACAGGAAAUCGAGGCUUCCUUUUAAACCUGAAGAAGAGUAAGAAGAGUUUCAGAGAGAG